GUGGUGACACGUGGAGCUGACAGAUACUAAUAGAUCGAGGACUUAACCUAUAUUCUAAUGUGAAGCAUGAACAUUGUUAUCUAGUUUUGAGAGAAUAUUUUUAAAAUAUCUCUUGAUUUAUUUUCAAUACAUAGUAUAAUAUCUUUUGUCACUAAAUUGUCUGGUGAUGAUGGCGAAGAGGUCACACCCGUUCCCAUACCGAACACGGAAGUUAAGCUCUUCAGCGCCGAUGGUAGUUGGGGGUUUCCCCCUGUGAGAGUAGGACAUCGCCAGGC
rnacentral:rRNA from 1 species